rnacentral:rRNA from 1 species
UACGGAGGGUGCAAGCGUUAUCCGGAUUCACUGGGUUUAAAGGGUGCGUAGGUGGGCAGGUAAGUCAGUGGUGAAAUCUCCGGGCUUAACUCGGAAACUGCCAUUGAUACUAUCUUUCUUGAAUACCGUGGAGGUCAGCGGAAUAUGUCAUGUAGCGGUGAAAUGCUUAGAUAUGACAUAGAACACCAAUUGCGAAGGCAGCUGGCUACACGAAUAUUGACACUGAUGCACGAAAGCGUGGGGAUCAAACAGGA